rnacentral:lncRNA from 1 species
GAAUUGAAACAUGUGUGUAUUUGUAAUUGUUAAAAGUUGUGUGGUAACAAUUGAAAAUUAACUAUAUUCUAAUAAUAUUAUAAAACAUAUUUUGGUGUACCAAUACACUUAAAACACUUAAGAUGGGUUACCUAACCCAAUCUUAUAGAAUGGGUAGCCAAGUUCUCACCUAGAUUUUAUGAAAAAGAUAUUUCAAAAAUAUUGAAUCAAACAAAACCAGAUUCACUCAUCCACCAAAAUUUGAGGGGUAUUAUGUACCAUACAAGAGUUUCUCUUCACCUUAGACUUGCUACAAUAAAAUAUAGUAAUAAUACCCCUCGUGUUCCAUGACCUUAUUAUUUUAGUUCUCCGAGUGAUAAUGACAUAAGAAAAUCAAAAACAAGAUCUCUUUACUUAAAACCACUGAGAAAUACAUUCAACUUAAAACCACAAAGCAAAAGAAGCUUAAUUCAUAGUUAGAGCUUAUAUCAAAACAAAGGAAGAUGACGGUGACAACAACAACAACAACAACAACAUUGAAUCUUCCUAUCAUUGACAUCUCUUCACCUGACCGUAUUUCCACAGCCAAUUCCAUCCGACAGGUUUUGUACACUAUUCUUAAUAUAUGUUUGUCUUCGUUAUCUUGUUCUCGUAGAAAUGAGUCUCAUGUAGGUCGUAUCUGAAGGAGGGCGAAGAGGGAGACCGCCCUAGCCCUAGGUCCAUAGUAAUAAGUUUAAAAUUUGGGUCCCUAAAUAAUCUUUUUAGGGGACUAAUCUAAUAGGCCAAACAAAAAACAUAUACGAAAUUCUUAGUUUUGUUUGUUGCUUCUUAUUCUCUUUCGGUGAACAUAUAAUUGUAUCAAAUAUCAAUUAUGAAUUUUGGUACAAUGAUAUUUGAUAUGGUUGAUAAUUAAUGAAUUGAUACAAUGAUACGUAAGUAUCAAUGAUCAAAUUCUCUGUCAAACCGUCUUUGUUCUACUUUUUCAUCAGUACACGUAUGCAAAUUAUUUCCUUCUUGCAAUCUCAUUGCAUAUCAACAUACACCCAUUGUCUUCCUAUAUUUUUCUCUCUACAAGUCUACAACUCAUCAGUCAUCCCUAGUUUUCUCUUAUAUAACAUAUUGAUGUAAACACAAUUAUUAGUAACUUUGCAUGAUUGUAUUUAGAAAUAGUGGUAGAAAUUAUUUUGUAAAAGUAUUUUGAUAUUAAAUAAAAAGUUUAAUCUUUUUUGAGAAUUAAAUUUUCUUAUACUACAAUUAUUAAUUAGGGCCUAUUAGAAUUUUAGAGGCCUAUACUCAACCACAAAAGCUAGCUUGAGAGUUGAGGUUUGCACUACAUUUAUAAAGGCUAUCUAUGUCAUAUCUCUAGCCAAUGUGGGACUUCUAACANN